rnacentral:rRNA from 1 species
GGUCAGUAAAGCUCUGUUGUUAGGGAAGAACAAGUACCGGAGUAAACUGCCGGUACCUUGACGGUACCUAAACCAGAAAGCCACGGCUAACUACGUGCCAGCAGCCGCGGUAAUACGUAGGUGGCAAGCGUUGUCCGGAAUUAUUUGGGCGUAAAGCGCGCGCAGGCGGUCCUUUAAGUCUGAUGUGAAAGCCCACGGCUCAAACCGUGGAGGGUCAUUGGAAACUGGGGGACUUGAGUGCAGAAGAGGAAAGCGGAAUUCCACGUGUAGCGGUGAAAUGCGUAGAGAUGUGGAGGAACACCAGUNGGCGAAGGCGGCUUUCUGGUCUGUAACUGACGCUGAGGCGCGAAAGCGUGGGGAGCAAACAGGNAUUAGAUACCCUGGUAGUCCACGCCGUAAACGAUGAGUGCUAAGUGUUAGGGGGUUUCCGCCCCUUAGUGCUGCAGCUAACGCAUUAAGCACUCCGCCUGGGGAGUACGGUCGCAAGACUGAAACUCAAAGGAAUUGACGGGGGCCCGCACAAGCGGUGGAGCAUGUGGUUUAAUUCGAAGCAACGCGAAGAACCUUACCAGGUCUUGACAUCCUCUGACAAUCCUAGAGAUAGGACGUNCCCCUUCGGGGGNCAGAGUGACAGGUGGUGCAUNGGUUGUNCGUNCANGCUCGUGUCGUGAGANUGUUGGGUUAAGUCCCGCAACGAGCGCAACCCUUGAUCUUAGUUGCCAGCAUUCAGUUGGGCACUCUAAGGUGACUGCCGGUGACAAACCGGAGGAAGGUGGGGAUGACGUCAAAUCAUCAUGCCCCUUAUGACCUGGGCUACACACGUGCUACAAUGGACAGAACAAGGGCAGCGAAACCGCGAGGUUAAGCCAAUCCCACAAAUCUGUUCUCAUUUCGGAUCGCAGUCUGCAACUCGACUGCGUGAAAGCUGGAAUCGCUA